UCUACUGAGGAAGAUAUUCCUUCUGGCCCACAGGAUGCCAAAAUGACUUGAUGAUUUAUUUAUGCAGCACUUGGCAGCCUAUAGUCCAGAUUGUGGCUGAAGCUGAAUUUUAUGAGCCUUCCCCUAGAAGUCUUCUAGGCCCAAGGGAUUGUGGUGAAAGAAGAUAAACACUGCUCCUUCUCUCCUGCAACAGACAUUUCAGAAGAGAGAGAUGGAUGAUAAUAGAUGAUGAAAGUCUUCAGAGGAAAAAAUUUUGCUCAUGUGGAAAAGGUGGGGAAGAAAUGCCAGAAGCACUACCAGACAUCAAAAAUGAUGAGUUCAAAAACUGUUUUGAAUGGUGGAAAAGUGUCUUGAUAGGUACAUUACAUGAAAAGGAGAGUAUUUUGAUGGAGAUUGAAGUUUAAACAUGUAAGAAUAAAUACACAAUUUUUUAUAAAUAAAUUCUGGGUUUUUUGGGGGUCCCCUUUGUGCUAAGAAAUGCAGACCAGGCACUUCACAAUUUUAAAUGAAGCCUUCUUUGUGAUUACAGUACAUGCUGUUUCUGUAGUAAGAUGAA